UACGGGGGGGGCAAGCGUUGUUCGGAAUUACUGGGCGUAAAGGGCUCGUAGGCGGCCAACUAAGUCAGACGUGAAAUCCCCAGGCUCAACCUGGGAACUGCGUCUGACACUGGUUGGCUUGAAUCCGGGAGAGGGAUGCAGAAUUCCAGGUGCAGCGGUGAAAUGCGUAGAUAUCUGGAGGAAUACCGGUGGCGAAGGCGGCAUCCUGGACCGGCAUUGACGCUGAGGAGCGAAAGCCAGGGGAGCAAACGGG
rnacentral:rRNA from 1 species